AUUGAACGCUGGCGGCAUGCUUUACACAUGCAAGUCGAACGGCACCGCGGGCUUCGGCCUGGCGGCGAGUGGCGAACGGGUGGGUAAUACAUCGGAACGUGCCCUGUAGUGGGGGAUUGCAUGGCGAAAGGCGGAUUAAUCCCGUAUACGACCUUCGGGUGAAAGCGGGGGAUCUUCGGAGCUCGCGCUAUUGGAGUGUCCGAUGGCAGAUUAGCUAGUUGGUGGGGUCAAGGCCUACCAAGGCGACGAUCUGUAGCUGGUCUGAGAGGACGACCAGCCAGACUGGGACUGAGACACGGCCCAGACUCCUACGGGAGGCAGCAGUGGGGAAUUUUGGACAAAGGGCGAAAGCCUGAUCCAGCAAUGCCGCGUGUGUGAUGAAGGCCUUCGGGUUGUAAAGCACUUUUGGCGGGAACGAAAAGGACUGUGCCAAUACCACGGUUCGAUGACGGUACCCGCAGAAUAAGCACCGGCUAACUACGUG
rnacentral:rRNA from 1 species